rnacentral:rRNA from 1 species
CCAUACGACCGUACCGCAAACCGACACUGGUGCGCGAGAUGAGUAUUCUAAGGCGCUUGAGAGAACUCAGGAGAAGGAACUCGGCAAAUUGACACCGUAACUUCGGAAGAAGGUGUGCCCUAUUAGUGUGUAGUGGACAACGAAGCAUGAAUGGGUUGCAAAAAAUCGGUGGCUGCGACUGUUUAUUAAAAACACAGCACUCUGCAAACACGAAAGUGGACGUAUAGGGUGUGACGCCUGCCCGGUGCUGGAAGAUUAAAUGAUGGGGUGCAAGCUCUUGAUUGAAGUCCCAGUAAACGGCGGCCGUAACAAUAACGGUCCUAAGGUAGCGAAAUUCCUUGUCGGGUAAGUUCCGACCUGCACGAAUGGCGUAACGAUGGCCACACUGUCUCCUCCUGAGACUCAGCGAAGUUGAAAUGUUUGUGAUGAUGCAAUCUCCCCGCGGAAAGACGGAAAGACCCCAUGAACCUUUACUGUAGCUUUGUAUUGGACUUUGAACAGAUCUGUGUAGGAUAGGUGGGAGGCUUUGAAGCAGGGUCGCUAGAUCUUGUGGAGCCAACGUUGAAAUACCACCCUGGUGUGUUUGAGGUUCUAACCUAGGUCCAUUAUCUGGAUCGGGGACAGUGCAUGGUAGGCAGUUUGACUGGGGCGGUCUCCUCCCAAAGCGUAACGGAGGAGUUCGAAGGUACGCUAGUUACGGUCGGACAUCGUGACGAUAGUGCAAUGGCAUAAGCGUGCUUAACUGCGAGACUGACAAGUCGAGCAGAUGCGAAAGCAGGACAUAGUGAUCCGGUGGUUCUGUAUGGAAGGGCCAUCGCUCAACGGAUAAAAGGUACUCUGGGGAUAACAGGCUGAUACCGCCCAAGAGUUCAUAUCGACGGCGGUGUUUGGCACCUCGAUGUCGGCUCAUCUCAUCCUGGGGCUGUAGCCGGUCCCAAGGGUAUGGCUGUUCGCCAUUUAAAGAGGUACGUGAGCUGGGUUUAAAACGUCGUGAGACAGUUUGGUCCCUAUCUUCCGUGGGCGCUGCAGAUUUGAGGAAGCCUGCUCCUAGUACGAGAGGACCGGAGUGGACACACCUCUGGUGUAUCGGUUGUCACGCCAGUGGCAUUGCCGAGUAGCUAAGUGUGGAAGAGAUAACCGCUGAAAGCAUCUAAGCGGGAAACUCGUUUCAAGAUGAGAUCUGCCGGGGCCUUGAGCCCCCUAAAGAGUCGUUCAAGACCAGGACGUUGAUAGGUCAGGUGUGGAAGCCAA